rnacentral:rRNA from 1 species
UACGAAGGGGGCUAGCGUUGCUCGGAAUCACUGGGCGUAAAGGGUGCGUAGGCGGGUCUUUAAGUCAGGGGUGAAAUCCUGGAGCUCAACUCCAGAACUGCCUUUGAUACUGAGGAUCUUGAGUUCGGGAGAGGUGAGUGGAACUGCGAGUGUAGAGGUGAAAUUCGUAGAUAUCGGGAGGAACACCGGUGGCGAAGGCGGCGACCUGGGUCGAUACUGACGCUGAUGCGCGAAAGCGUGGGGAGCGAACAGG